GGUUAAGCGACUAAGCGUACACGGUGGAUGCCCUGGCAGUCAGAGGCGAUGAAGGACGUGCUAAUCUGCGAUAAGCGUCGGUAAGGUGAUAUGAACCGUUAUAACCGGCGAUUUCCGAAUGGGGAAACCCAGUGUGAUUCGUCACACUAUCAUUACGUGAAUACAUAGCGUAAUGAAGCGAACCGGGGGAACUGAAACAUCUAAGUACCCCGAGGAAAAGAAAUCAACCGAGAUUCCCCCAGUAGCGGCGAGCGAACGGGGAGCAGCCCAGAGUCUGAAUCAGCUUGUGUGUUAGUGGAACGGUCUGGAAAGUCCGACGGUACAGGGUGAUAGUCCCGUACACCAAAAUGCACAGGUUGUGAACUCGAAGAGUAGGGCGGGACACGUGGUAUCCUGUCUGAAUAUGGGGGGGACCAUCCUCCAAGGCUAAAUACUCCUGACUGACCGAUAGUGAACCAGUACCGUGAGGGAAAGGCGAAAAGAACCCCGGCGAGGGGAGUGAAAAAGAACCUGAAACCGUGUACGUACAAGCAGUGGGAGCCUCUUUAUGGGGUGACUGCGUACCUUUUGUAUAAUGGGUCAGCGACUUAUAUUCUGUAGCAAGGUUAACCGUAUAGGGGAGCCGAAGGGAAACCGAGUCUUAACUGGGCGUUAAGUUGCAGGGUAUAGACCCGAAACCCGGUGAUCUAGCCAUGGGCAGGUUGAAGGUUGGGUAACACUAACUGGAGGACCGAACCGACUAAUGUUGAAAAAUUAGCGGAUGACUUGUGGCUGGGGGUGAAAGGCCAAUCAAACCGGGAGAUAGCUGGUUCUCCCCGAAAGCUAUUUAGGUAGCGCCUCGUGAAUUCAUCUUCGGGGGUAGAGCACUGUUUCGGCUAGGGGGUCAUCCCGACUUACCAACCCGAUGCAAACUGCGAAUACCGAAGAAUGUUAUCACGGGAGACACACGGCGGGUGCUAACGUCCGUCGUGAAGAGGGAAACAACCCAGACCGCCAGCUAAGGUCCCAAAGUCAUGGUUAAGUGGGAAACGAUGUGGGAAGGCACAGACAGCCAGGAUGUUGGCUUAGAAGCAGCCAUCAUUUAAAGAAAGCGUAAUAGCUCACUGGUCGAGUCGGCCUGCGCGGAAGAUGUAACGGGGCUAAACCAUGCACCGAAGCUGCGGCAGCGACACUAUGUGUUGUUGGGUAGGGGAGCGUUCUGUAAGCCGUUGAAGGUGUAUCGUGAGGUAUGCUGGAGGUAUCAGAAGUGCGAAUGCUGACAUAAGUAACGAUAAUGCGGGUGAAAAACCCGCACGCCGGAAGACCAAGGGUUCCUGUCCAACGUUAAUCGGGGCAGGGUGAGUCGACCCCUAAGGCGAGGCCGAAAGGCGUAGUCGAUGGGAAACAGGUUAAUAUUCCUGUACUUGGUGUUACUGCGAAGGGGGGACGGAGAAGGCUAUGUUAGCCGGGCGACGGUUGUCCCGGUUUAAGCAUGUAGGCGGAGGUUCCAGGUAAAUCCGGUACCUUUUUAACGCUGAGGUGUGAUGACGAGGCACUACGGUGCUGAAGUAACAAAUGCCCUGCUUCCAGGAAAAGCCUCUAAGCAUCAGGUAACACGAAAUCGUACCCCAAACCGACACAGGUGGUCAGGUAGAGAAUACCAAGGCGCUUGAGAGAACUCGGGUGAAGGAACUAGGCAAAAUGGUGCCGUAACUUCGGGAGAAGGCACGCUGAUAUGUAGGUGAAGUGAUUUACUCAUGGAGCUGAAAUCAGUCGAAGAUACCAGCUGGCUGCAACUGUUUAUUAAAAACACAGCACUGUGCAAACACGAAAGUGGACGUAUACGGUGUGACGCCUGCCCGGUGCCGGAAGGUUAAUUGAUGGGGUUAUCCGUAAGGAGAAGCUCUUGAUCGAAGCCCCGGUAAACGGCGGCCGUAACUAUAACGGUCCUAAGGUAGCGAAAUUCCUUGUCGGGUAAGUUCCGACCUGCACGAAUGGCGUAAUGAUGGCCAGGCUGUCUCCACCCGAGACUCAGUGAAAUUGAACUCGCUGUGAAGAUGCAGUGUACCCGCGGCAAGACGGAAAGACCCCGUGAACCUUUACUAUAGCUUGACACUGAACACUGGUCCUUGAUGUGUAGGAUAGGUGGGAGGCUUUGAAGUGUGGACGCCAGUCUGCAUGGAGCCAUCCUUGAAAUACCACCCUUUAAUGGCUGGUGUUCUAACGUGGACCCGUUACCCGGGUUGCGGACAGUGUCUGGUGGGUAGUUUGACUGGGGCGGUCUCCUCCUAAAGAGUAACGGAGGAGCACGAAGGUUAGCUAAUCCUGGUCGGACAUCAGGAGGUUAGUGCAAAGGCAUAAGCUAGCUUGACUGCGAGAGUGACGGCUCGAGCAGGUGCGAAAGCAGGUCUUAGUGAUCCGGUGGUUCUGAAUGGAAGGGCCAUCGCUCAACGGAUAAAAGGUACUCCGGGGAUAACAGGCUGAUACCGCCCAAGAGUUCAUAUCGACGGCGGUGUUUGGCACCUCGAUGUCGGCUCAUCACAUCCUGGGGCUGAAGUAGGUCCCAAGGGUAUGGCUGUUCGCCAUUUAAAGUGGUACGCGAGCUGGGUUUAGAACGUCGUGAGACAGUUCGGUCCCUAUCUGCCGUGGGCGCUGGAGAAUUGAGGGGGGCUGCUCCUAGUACGAGAGGACCGGAGUGGACGCAUCACUGGUGUUCGGGUUGUCAUGCCAAUGGCAUUGCCCGGUAGCUAAAUGCGGAAGAGAUAAGUGCUGAAAGCAUCUAAGCACGAAACUUGCCCCGAGAUGAGUUCUCCCUGAGACUAUAAGUCUCCUGAAGGAACGUUAAAGACGAUGACGUUGAUAGGUCGGGUGUGUAAGUGUAGCGAUACAUUGAGCUAACCGAUACUAAUGAACCGUGAGGCUUAACCUU
rnacentral:rRNA from 1 species